AUAACGCGACAAACAUGUAACCGGUAUUUCCAUCACUUGUUUAGAUGACCACUAUUCAAUAAUUACAAUUAACUCGGACGACGAGAUUGGAGGGACACAAGUAACUAAAUUACCGUAAAUAUUCCCCUUUUUUAUUAUGUUUCUUAAUUACUAUCAAAAAAGUUUCCGGUUCUCUCUCUCGUGCUAAUAUUACAUGUUUGCCUAUAGUACGGAACCAGUGGUGGAGGACCAAUUGGCGAAGCUGUUGGAGGAGCUAGAAGGUGGUACCCAGCCGACACAAACCAGGGUGUAUGCGCCGUUAGUAAGGUCACCAUCGCCUCCAACAGCAGACACCGCCUCCACCGUUGCAAAAUCAGUGAAUACACCACAACGAUGAGGAUUAUAAAAAGUCCAGGGGGAAAGUCUGCAAAAUAUGAUGCAGGUCUGUGGGGUAGGCAGCGCUCAAUACCCGCAGACUGAUCACUGGGCCAUGGGGGUCACCAGCAACUCCAAAGCAAGUGGCCGAAGCGACAUAUGCCCGUCUGCUGAAGCUGGUACCAGUGUACGAGGCCAAAGGCAUAAGUGCUAGAAUCCGCUUGGAGCAGUUGGUCUCGGAACUGGAAGCAGCAAGCGCGGAGGAGAGAGAUAUAAAACUGAAACAGAAUA